GAUCAUUACCGAGUGAGGGCCCUCUGGGUCCAACCUCCCCCCAUGUUUAUUGUACCUUGUUGCUUCGGCGGGCCCGCCUCACGGCCGCCGGGGGGCUUCUGCCCUCUGGCCCGCGCCCGCCGAAGACACCAUUGAACACUGUCUGAAGAUUGCAGUCUGAGCAAUUAGCUAAAUAAGUUAAAACUUUCAACAACGGAUCUCUUGGUUCCGGCAUCGAUGAAGAACGCAGCGAAAUGCGAUACGUAAUGUGAAUUGCAGAAUUCAGUGAAUCAUCGAGUCUUUGAACGCACAUUGCGCCCCUUGGUAUUCCGGGGGGCAUGCCUGUCCGAGCGUCAUUGCUGCCCUCAAGCACGGCUUGUGUGUUGGGCCCCGUCCUCCUUCCCGGGGGACGGGCCCGAAAGGCAGCGGCGGCACCGCGUCCGGUCCUCGAGCGUAUGGGGCUUUGUCACCCGCUCUUGUAGGCCCGGCCGGCGCUUGCCGACAACCAUCAAUCUUUUUUCAGGUUGACCUCGGAUCAGGUAGGGAUACCCGCUGAACUUAAGCAUAUCAAUAAGCGGAGGAAAAGAAACCAACAGGGAUUGCCUCAGUAACGGCGAGUGAAGCGGCAAGAGCUCAAAUUUGAAAGCUGGCCCCCUCGGGGUCCGCAUUGUAAUUUGCAGAGGAUGCUUCGGGAGUGGCCCCCAUCUAAGUGCUCUGGAACGGGCCGUCAUAGAGGGUGAGAAUCCCGUAUGGGAUGGGGUGUCCGCGACCAUGUGAAGCUCCUUCGACGAGUCGAGUUGUUUGGGAAUGCAGCUCUAAAUGGGUGGUAAAUUUCAUCUAAAGCUAAAUAUUGGCCGGAGACCGAUAGCGCACAAGUAGAGUGAUCGAAAGAUGAAAAGCACUUUGAAAAGAGAGUUAAAAAGCACGUGAAAUUGUUGAAAGGGAAGCGCUUGCGACCAGACUCGCCUACGGGGUUCAGCCGGUAUUCGUACCGGUGUACUUCCCCGUGGGCGGGCCAGCGUCGGUUUGGGCGGCCGGUCAAAGGCCCUCGGAAUGUAACGCCUCUCGGGGCGUCUUAUAGCCGAGGGUGCCAUGCGGCCAGCCCGGACCGAGGAACGCGCUC
rnacentral:rRNA from 1 species